GGUACAUUCAAUUGAGUCACUUGACCAGCAAGCUGGGUGACUUGCUGGUGUAGCAGUUGGUUCUCAGCUAGCAUCUGCUGCAGUUGUUGUUGGGGGUCCAUGACGGUUAAAGGUGGCUUGUUAUGGGGUGGUGAACAAGUUUGUUCUGUCUCCUUCCAGGAGUGGCCUUGCAGAGGCUCAAAUAGCCCGGCAGUAACAAACGCAGGCUAGAGAGACUGAAGCUGGCCUUUUAAUAAAUAGUUCUCUUCCAAAGCAUAUAUCAGUCCAAUAGUUACCGGGCAAUGUUCCAAAGGUCUUGGCAGAUGGCCAGCAGGCUAAUGCAGGAAUGCAGACUCUUGUCAAAAACUCCAAACUAACAGUUGUAACUCCACUGUAUCCAAAACACCAACAAAUUGUUCAUCACGCCUUUCCAGCCCAGUCACACCCCUUUUAUACUUUGUAGGGUGUGGCCCUAUGUCUCCUGACCACACCUCUUAGGACAUGGCAAUAGCUGUCCUCUACGACAUCUCCUACGUCUCUCUCUUGCAUCCAAUAGGGGCUCCCCCUCAUUAUCAGCCUCUGUUUCCUCCUCAAAUUGGCUGGGGUCCAUAGGCAUGUCAGCAACUGUCAGUUCUUGCUGACUCACCAGUGAAGAUGGCCCCUCCGGCACAUAGCUCAUAACAGCUUCCUCCUUCUCCAUAUCAUCCUCCAAAUUAGCAUGUGAAAAUAAAUCAGCCUCCAGGGCCGUGAUCACAACAGGUGAGUUCUAUUCCUACAAAAGCACAUUAAGUUCUUUUCCUGCAAAAUACACAAUACUUGUCUGAGUUUAAUCUAUUUCAAUCUCCAGGAGAACGUGAGUUCUAGUUGGACCAUUGGGAUCGAAGUAAGCUUUUUGACCUUGUGCCAAUUACCGCAAUUUGGUGAGUUUGAGAUGAACAUUUAAGACGGAAGCCAGCUGUGUGAGUUUGGUCAAAUUAACAGGAGAGAGUCAGUAGUAGAAGGUGAGUUCUAGUCCUCCAAUAGUCAAGGUAAGUUUUCGUCCUCCAACUUGAACAACCGUCAGAGGAGUGAUCUUAUGCCAAUUCUCCCACGAUACGGUGAGUUCUAGUCCUACAAAAGCAUAUUGAGUUCUUUUCCUGUAAAAUACACAACACUUGUCUGAGUUUAACCUAUUUCAAUCAUCAGGGGAACAUGAGUUCUAGUUGGACCAUUGGGAUGGAAGUCAGCUUUUUUACCUUGCCCCAAUUACUGCAAUUUGGUGAGUUUGAGAUUAACAUUUAAGAUGGAAACCAGCUGUUUGACUUUGGUCGAAUUAACAGAAGACAGUCAAUAGGAGAAGGUGAGUUCUAAUCCUCCAAUAGUCAAUUUAAGUUCUCGUCCUCCAAUUUGAACGACUGUCAGAGGAGUGAUUUUAUGCCAAUUCUCCCAGGAUAAGGUGAGUUCUAGUCCUACAAAAGCACAUUGAGUUCUUUUCCUGCAAAAUACACAAUACUUGUCUGAGUUUAUCCUAUUCAAUCACCAGGAGAACACGAGUUCUAGUUGGGCCAUUGGGAUGGAAGUCAGCUUUUUGACCAUGUGCCAAUUACUGCAAUUUGGAAAAAAAUCUAUCUUUAAGGCAGAUUGAGAGCGAUGGUGGCUGCAUAGAGAGGAAGCAAAAAGUGAUUUUCAGCAUUAGUGGUCACGGAAGAUUGGAAGAAAAAAGAAAAGUGAGAUUCUUAGCAAGCUGUCACCAGUGAGAGAGUCACAGAGGGUGAGGAGAGUGGCGAUCAGGAAGGAGAGUGCUUAAUGCGAGAUAUUCGAACUGAGGCAACAGGGUAAUAAAAGCGGCGGAAGAAGCAAUUUACAAGAAAAUACAAAUUAACAACUGAAACUGAACUGAAAGAUUCGCACCUGAGCCAAGGAUUUAUUGUGAGAGAAGGGGAAAAACAAAAAGAAAAAAGGAGUAACCUCACCAUGAGAAGGAAGAAACUGCGAAGGUAUAUAUAAACUUUGGAACUGAAAAGUUAAGGACUUUCCUUCUUUUAACUGACGAACUUGGUGAACUUCGAGGAUUGAGGAGGAGGCGAUUUGGAAAGAAAUUUAUAGAUAGGCACAUGGAUAAGGUGGAUUUAUAAACAUUGAGAAGAAAACAGAUUGCAAGAUUGGGAGGACGCAGAGACUGUGUGCUGGAAUUUAAAGUGACUAAGCUUGAUUUAGGAGAUAGAACUAAUCUGAUGCAAUAAGGACUGGAAAGAAGGGAAAAAAAGAAGAAGAAGAAUUCAAAAAAGAAUAAAGUCUGGUUGGAAUUUA